rnacentral:rRNA from 1 species
GACGAACGCUGGCGGCGUGCUUAACACAUGCAAGUCGAACGGUAAGGCCCUUCGGGGUACACGAGUGGCGAACGGGUGAGUAACACGUGGGUGAUCUGCCCAGCACUUCGGGAUAAGCCUGGGAAACUGGGUCUAAUACCGGAUAGGACCACUGCCUGCAUGGGUGGUGGUGGAAAGCCUUUGCGGUGUGGGAUGGGCCCGCGGCCUAUCAGCUUGUUGGUGGGGUGAUGGCCUACCAAGGCGACGACGGGUAGCCGGCCUGAGAGGGUGACCGGCCACACUGGGACUGAGAUACGGCCCAGACUCCUACGGGAGGCAGCAGUGGGGAAUAUUGCACAAUGGGCGCAAGCCUGAUGCAGCGACGCCGCGUGAGGGAUGACGGCCUUCGGGUUGUAAACCUCUUUCAGCACCGACGAAGCGCAAGUGACGGUAGGUGCAGAAGAAGGACCGGCCAACUACGUGCCAGCCGCCGCCGUAAGAC